AAUCAACGCUGGCGGCGUGCCUCAGACAUGCAAGUCGAACGAUUAAGACUUCCUUCGGGAAGUGUAUAAAGUGGCGCACGGGUGAGUAACACGUAAGUAAUCUACCUUCGAGUGGGGAAUAACAUCGGGAAACCGAUGCUAAUACCGCAUAAUGCAGCGGCAUCGCAAGAUGACAGUUGUUAAUGGAGCAAUUCGCUUGAAGAGGAGCUUGCGGCAGAUUAGCUAGUUGGUAAGGUAAUGGCUUACCAAGGCUACGAUCUGUAUCCGGUCUAAGAGGACGGUCGGACACACUGACGCUGAAUAACGGGUCAGACUCCUACGGGAGGCAGCAGUCGGGAAUUUUGGGCAAUGGGCGAAAGCCUGACCCAGCAACGCCGCGUGAGGGAUGAAGUAUUUCGGUAUGUAAACCUCGAAAGAAUGGGAAGAAUAAAUGACGGUACCAUUUAUAAGCUCCGGCUAACUACGUGCCAGCCGCCGCCGUAAAAC
rnacentral:rRNA from 1 species